UUUCCACAGGCCAGCCACUGUGCAGAGUGGUGUGUGGUUUUAAAGUUGCCCAUGCUGUCUGUAUUAGUUUUCGAUUUGCUUUCAUAACAAAAUACUACAACCUUAGUGGGUUAAACAACGCAAAU
rnacentral:sRNA from 1 species